UGGACUUUUAUUUUGACGUAUUUUAUCUUGGCACUUAACCUAGUUGGCUUCACGUUCGCGCAGAUAAAAGUUAUUUGAUAUGACAUAUAAAGCGCAAUAGUCUCUUCAUUUAUCUAAUUUAAAAUGUCUAUCCCACCUGGAUCUAUAAUCGUGUCGGACUGGCACCGCUGUGCAGACAGCAGAGAGUUUUUCAGCAAAAUACUGCAUAAGAAGAGGCGGCGAAAGUUUGGGCUCUUGGAGGCGCCGAUGAUGCCUCCUCAUAUGAAUGUGGACAUCGUUCGCUACAAGGUUCUUAUUUCGGGUAAAACUGGAGUCGGGAAGAGCGCUCUUGCUGCCCGUCUCGCUGGCCUAGAUCUCCCCAAAAUGCAUUAUGAGACCACAGGAAUAGAGACAACAGUGGUCUUCUGGCCUGUAAGACUAAAGGACACUGGGCGUGUGCUGUUUUUCCGCUUUGAGCUUUGGGAAUGUGGGGAAAGUGCCAUGCGAAGAUUUGACCACAUGUUACCGUCAUGUAAGGAACAGGUGGAUGCCAUUCUUUUCCUGUUCUCCUUCACUGAUCGUGGCUCCUUUGAUGAUCUUUCAAACCAGAUAUCACGGAUCACAGAAUCUUUAGAUCGAGUGGUUAAAUUGGUGGUUGGCACCAAAUUUGACUUAUUUAUGCACACAGACGUGACGGAGAGUGAUGUAACACAUUUUCAAGAGGUGUGGGGUCUUCCGGUCUUCCGAGUGGGAGGUGAUGUGAGUGCGGGGCUUGGUGAAGUAGCGCCCCUCCUAAAUUCCCUUGCAGAAAACCUGUGGCACCAGGACUGUAUGGCUGCUUCAUCAGUCUCCAUCUCCCCACAGGCUGCUGUCAGAGAAACAGGCUCAGAGAUCAUUGUAUAGCUUAGAAGAUGUGACUGACAUUGGAUCCACAUCAGCAGGGAAUUGGCACUUCUGACAAACAGUGUCCAUAAUUGUGCCAUCUGAUGCCAACUGAUUUAUAAGACCCAAACGGACGCUUUACAGUAAGAAGUAUGGUGUGGAUCUCAUCAGAUACACCCAUGCCGCCAACACUGUCGUCUACAGCUCUAACAAGAUUGAUGAUACUAUACGAUACCUGUCCCUACAUGACAAUAAGUACAUUCGCUACUUUCC